CCAGCAAGCGAGGCUGAAGAACAGAAAUCUGAAGACGGCAGGCAGCUUCAAUACGUGGGAAAAACAGUGAAAAAGCCUAGCGCCACCAGGAUGGAGUAGGCCGUUAACGUAGAUUUGAAAGGGUAGUUCCCAGGUAAUGGAGAGAAGGGGCGAUGGAGAGAGAAGGCUCAUCUUACUCUGAGGCAUCGAGGGACCUGAACCACCUCUUGCGUGGACGAAUGCUCUCCCUGUAGGAGAAAAAGGCAAUUAACGUGUGUGGCGAAGAGCGAGAAGAAACAGCAACCGUGACAGGAAUCGUUAGCUCUGGCUUCUUUUGUGUGGGUACCGCAAGGUCAGAGCUUGAACAAGGGGAAAACCGGCAUAUGUCUUCGCUAACAAGCAUGACAACCAAGUAGCUGAGUCGAUUCAUGUUGCGAUCCAGAGAAACCCUAGUCUUUGACAGGAUCUGGGAAGUGAGAUAUCCGUGUUCUGCUGAAAGACCCACCAACCCUGUCUUCCUCGUUAAAAAUCCAAAAGAAGCGCUUCAGAGAAGAGCUAGAGAACAGGAAAAGAAGUGUAGGUGCCGUGCGGUGGCGUAGCCACAGCCCCGG